CUCAGCCCAAGACACUGUUCUUUGUCUCCAGACGUGAAAGCAAUGGGUCUUUAGUCUGGAAAGCAAUCUUAUUGUCCAAGAUGGUCUCUUGGGAACUGUUAAAGUUGUAUGACAUGGGAAGAAUUUCCAUUUUGCAGUGCAAAUGGACCUGCCGCAACAAUCCAGUGAGACUGGUAACUCAAGCAGCACUAAAGGAAAGUACAAGUCCUCAUCUGGUUGUCGGACCGAGCUUAGGAAACCAGCGUGUUACUUUCAUCUGCUGAGAAAAGCUGCCCACUGCCUCCCUGGCAGCACCCAGCGGGCUCCCAGCUCAUGAAUGGUGUGGACAUGCCGGCAUCCGCGUAGUGCAGGAGUUGCUCCCCAGGCUGCAUCUGACCCUACGGCAAUGGUGCACAAGGUUAUUCCACAAAAAAGCAGAAAGAACACAUGAGAGUGGACAACAAUAGGCCAGCAAUCACAAUGCUGCUCCUGAUCUUACUGUGGACAGCAAAGGUCUUUAGUUUGACAACUCCAUGAAUGAAAAAUAUGUUUCUUCAGACAAGCAUGCUUAUCUUCAGACAAACAUAGGAUCUAUUUCUUUAAAG